GGCUGAAGAAGGUGAAGGUGGAGUAGAACACCUGGUCACUGCCGCUACCCAUCGCUGCCUCCAGGAACUUCCGGGCCGACACAGACUCCGCCAGGCCCACGCUGCGUGCAUACCUGCCACACAUUACAGGGAGAGCCCACACUCACCAGGGGCUUGGAGUCAGCCAGGACAUGGUACUGCAGCAGCUGGUGAAGUUGGUAGAAGUGUCUGGCACGCACCAAGGCAUUGAUCACCAGUUCGUAGAGGAAAUGCUGCACAGUCACCCCAACUGCCCCCAGCGAGCGUGUGUACUCCACCACCACCCCCACCACUGCUCGGACUGACACUGUGGCGGGAAGGAGGAUAAAAUGCUUGCUAACAUGCCAUCAGCCAAUCUACAUAUGCAACCAAACACCCCCAAACACUCACAAACACUCAAGAACGCCUCACAUAUACCCAAAAGCAACCCACACACACUGCACAUCCAAUUCCACAUUUAACCACAUUUCACAUACUUACACUUGUUCAAACAUAUCUCAUCCACUUACUAACACAUCCAACCACACACACAUACCCAAUGAUCCACUCACAUCCACUCAUUGAUUCACACACUCACAUUUUUUGUCUCCCACACCAGCCUUGCCUUCCUUCUCCACCUUCUCUGCUUCCUCCAUCAGUGGGGCCAGGACAGCGCUGUACAUGUCUGCCUGCUCCACUACCACCACACGCCGCUCCACCCCUCCACUUGCUGCAGCAGAGAAGCUCACACUCUCCCCCAUCUUGUGUGGAGGUGGUGGAGGAAGAGAGGAUGGAGAUGAGAUGGAUUAAUGGAUAGAACUGGUGUAUUUUUUAUGUAUUUGGAUUAAGUUGUUUAUUAUUUUUAUUGCCUUUUCUUGAUUUAAUGUGUGUGUGUGUGUGUGUGUGUGUGUGUGUGUGUGUGUGUUCACUGUACAGUCUGCUGCUGGUCUCUCUUGAGACAGCUGGCCAUCCCCCAUGGAAAGAGCUCAGAGCUCAUACUGACCAAUCUUUGUGUUGGACCAAGACCACUGACACACAACACACUGGGACAAUGAGGUCACAACUCCUCGACUUAAUCCCAUAUCUACUCGCUGCUAGGUGAACAGGGGCUACACAUGUAAGGAGACACACCCAAAUAAUCUCCGUCCACCCAGGGGAUCAAACCCUGGCCCUUAGGUUGUGAGCCAAGUGUACUAACCACUACGCUAGCAGACCAUGUGUGUGUGUAUGUGUGUCUGUGUGUGUGUGUGUGUGUGUGUGUGUGUGUGUGUGUGUGUGUUCAGCUGGUAAUAGUAUUUCAUUUUUAUUCUCGGAGGGUACAGUGGUAUAGUGUAAUUUGGGACAGUGUGUUAAGGUACUGACAAGUGUAGUGUCAUGUACAAUAGUGUGGUAGUGAGGGGUAGUGAGGCAGUGUAGUGUGGAGAAGUGUGAUGAAGUGUUUGUACAUAUAAUGCGGUGUGUGAUGGUGUGGGACAGUGUGGCAAAGAGCUGUGGUGGUGUAAGGCAGUGUGGUAAUGAGGUGUGUGGUGGUGUGAGACAGUGUGGUAAUGAGGUUAGGUGGUGUGGUGUGGCAUGGUGUGGCAAGGAACAGUGUGGUAGUGUAAUGUAGUGAGGCAGUCUAGUGUAAAGUAGUAUGAUGAAGUAAAUGUAAAUAUUGUGGUGUGAUGUGGUGUGGUGUGGUGUGGUGUGGUGUGGCAUGGCAAGGAGCAGUGUGGUGGAGUAUACAGAAAGAAUAAUAACUGAGUAAUAACUUCCUCCCCUCACUCCCUGCAACCCCACAUGUUACAGAUUAAGCCUCCCCACAGCCUGAAUGCAAAUAACUGAACUAACAAUAUAUUCAUCAGUGGUAUACAAAUGGGUUUCUUUUCUAGCUACAACAUUAAUAUAUACUAAUCAUAGCAUACAACACUCAUUAUAAUACCAACAUGCAGCAGUAAAGGUAAACAAACACCAAACUACCUACACCUAUUAUUAUCAGUAGUCAUAGUAGUAGUAGUAGUAGUAGUAGUAAUAGUAGUAGUAGUAGUAGUAGAAGUAGUAAUAUCCUCAGUGUCAUUUAUAAUCCUUCAUCCAGCAAACUAACAGAAUAAUAAUAGCAUAAUCCCUUUACCCAUUACUCGCACUUAUUCAUCUCUUUUCAACCUCAUCAAAUAAUCAACCAGAAUAAUCUUUCGAGCCUACAACAAAUCAAUCACCCACACACCCAUGAAGACUAUCAAAAACCACACAAGAAUACAUAGAGUCAGCAGACCUAAUGUAUCCCUCCGAGGCAAGUAGAACAUUAACCUACUCCAUGAAGAGGAGCAAAAAAAAGUGUGCGUUUCAUGAACAAUGAUAUUUUAGACGGUCAUUUCAGUUACUUUGUAAGUGAAAAAAUUAGUGUUUCAGUAAUAACAAUGUUUUCGAAGGCAAUCUUUGUUAAGGUUUGAUUGAAGAACUAAACUAAUGAAACACUGGAAUAAGAGAGAAACAGACAGAAAAACUGACAGAAGGGAACAGAGAUAAAGGGAGAAAGGAAGGAAUGGAGAAAAGAAUAGAGAUAAAGAGAGAAGAGGAAAGGAUGGAGAAAGGGACAGAGAUGUAAAGAGAGAAGAGAAAGGGAUGAAGAAAAGGGACUGAGAGAGAGAGAGAGAGAGAGAGAGAGAGAGAGAGAGAGAGAGAGAGAGAGAGAGAGAGAGAGAGAGAGAGAGAGAGAGAGAGAGAGUGUACGAAUCAUCCACACCUGAGUACUGAGUGAGAGGCAGGCAACACCAAACAAGCAUCUCUAAAAAUGUCCGAAACACUCACCAGAAACAAACCUGACUUCUGGGUAGACAAGCAUGGGAGAGGAAAAGUGCAUGAGAGAGAGAGAGAGAGAGAGAGAGAGAGAGAGAGAGAGAGAGAGAGAGAGAGAGAGAGAGAGAGAGAGAGAGAGAGAGAGAGAGAGAGAGAGAGAGAGAGAGAGAGAGAGA